GUUGAUUGAAGAAAAAUGCCCAACUACGAAGGUGAGCUGGUGGAGUGCCACACCAGAAAAUCCUGCCACCGAUAAGUUUUUGUUUUUUAAUUUUUUUGGCCAACCGAGGCCCCUUAACAUGUAUAAAAUCGGCCAAAAACUGACGAAAAAUGACAUUUUCAAGGCAAACCGCCACCGCAGGCGGCAGUGCCGUCGUCGAGAAUUUUGAAAUUGGCUGAAAAAAGUUUUUAACACCGAUUUUAGAUUUUUGAGGUAUUUUUAAGUAUGUAAUGUGUGUUUUAA
rnacentral:lncRNA from 1 species